ensembl:lncRNA
GACUCCUCUGUCCAUGGGAUUUUCCAGUAUUCUUGCCUGGAGAAUCUUCACACUCUUAUGGGUGUUUUUUGCUAGUCUGAAAUCCUUCAUUUUAUUAUAGUCCAAUUGGUUAAAAUUUCUCCUUAUGGUUAGUCCAUGGGGUCACACAGAGUUGGACAUGACUUAGUGACUAAACAAUAAUACAUCUAUUAAAGGGUUUUUUCCCCCAGAGAACCCUGGAUGUUUUAGAGAUUCUGUCUACUUACCUGCCCACUCACCGGUGCAAGGGCUUUGAUAGAAUAACGCAUUCCUGAGUGUUCACCAUGAAAAUAAUAUCAUAGAUAAAGUAAAAGCCUAUUUUCCAGGAAUAUCCAUUCCUGCCAAGGGCAUUCGUCCUACUGGAAGGGGCUUGAUCGUGAUAUAUAUUUCCAAAUUCGAGUCCAAGUUGCUUUCACACAUGGGUACUCUCAUCAGUGCCUGCAUGAGGACAUCCUCACCUGUCGGUUCAGUCACUCUGUUUUGUCCAACUCUUUGCAACCCCAUGGACUGCAGUACACCAGGCUUCCCUGUCCAUCACCAACUCCCAGAGCUUCCUCAAAUUGAUCAAACUCACCAGCAUUAGAUGUUAAGGUUUUUUGAAAACUUUAUCCUCAUUUGACAGUUAUAAAGUAAUAUUUAGGGUUGGUUUUUGUUUGCAUUUAUCUCUAUUUUAAAAUAAUGCAGUGGGAUAAUGCUUUGAAUAUCACCUAAUAGAUAUUCCUUUCUCCAUAACCCAUUCCUCUCCACCCUCACAGCCUGUGCCAGUGAGCCUAGGCUAGGGACAG